UUGUGACAGCUGAGUAUACAAAUGAAUAUUCGUCUUCCUGGUGCUCUUGAAUAUUCGGGAAUCUCUUCCAAAUAUAUACACCAGGAAGCACUUCCCUUGUGGUACGUCAAACAUUAUUAAUGAUAUGGAAAAACUGACUCAUUUUGUUGAAUCGGAGAAUUACUCCGAUUAAUGUCCAUUUUUCAUGAAAUAGAAAAAUAAUAAAAUGAUAAUGUGGACAACAAUUUACUGUUUCCGUUGAAUCGAUCUGGCGAGUCAGCAGAAAUGAUGGUGAUUCCCACCCUGGAAUAUAUUUUUUUACUAUUUAUCUAUAAAAAAAUUAAGGAAUAUUGUGACGAGCAUAAAAUGCCGCGUCACAGCGUUUAAAAGAAGUGUACAAGUUAAUUGUAAAAUAUUUUGUUGAAAUUUUAUUUUCUAGACAUGUUUUAAAUGCAAAAGAAAUUGAAGUUUUUAUUAAAAAAAUUAUAAAACGUUAAUGAUAAGACUUGAAAGAAAAAAUGACUUUUCAUCCAGUUUAGAAUUUAAGACUUUAUUUGUUGAUAUAAUUACUUUUAAUCUGAAACAUUUGUCAACAACUAUUUGCGAAGUUAUUCGUAGAGUUGGUAGCAUUGGACAUAGUGUAAUAUAAACAACUUGUGUAGAGGCAGGCUGCAAAGAAGUAAGUGAGCUUGAGUAUUAUCAAAGCCUAAAUAAUUUUUUACCUUGUUUUUUAAGUACUUUUUCUACUAAAUAAAUAUUUGAAUAUUUAA